AACACAACCUAGCAGAUUGGACAGAUAAAGAGAUGUAAACAAAGAAAUGAGAGUGGUGGGAUACAUUUUUCUAGGUGCUGGUCCGUGGCAACUGGAUCAUUUGUCUGAUCUGAAGCAAGAGAACAGGAUCAGAUAUGCGUGGACCGAGCAGUCGAGAUAAACGUCAUCACGUUUUGUGCGCGGUGGCUUCUGGGACAAACCAUAUAUGGAAGUUCAACUUCCGUCACGUUCAAGGGGCCCUGAUCGCAGUGAAACCAUAGACAGUAUAUUACUGGACGAAGCCACCCCGC